UAUGAUCUGCAAUGUACGUUGACUUUGAUAAUUCAACCGACAUAUUAGACACGGGAGUCUAAGUUUACCACCGUAUAACAUGCCUCCAUAGAGUGGAAGUUAGAAAGUGGUAACAGGGCACCCACCUUGGAGAAGGCGGGUGUGAAUUAGAUUAGUUGACGGCAUUGCGGUAUAAAA
rnacentral:other from 1 species